GACGAACGCUGGCGGCGUGCUUAACACAUGCAAGUCGAACGGCAACGCCCUGCGUGUUUGGUCUUCCCGAGUGCCGAACGGGUGCGUAACACGUGAGUAACCUGCUCUACACUUUUGGAUAACUUCAGGAAACUGGAGUUAAUAUCGUAUAGCAUCUCCUGCUCCAUGGUGGGGGUGGGAUCGUUUCGGCUGGUGGGGAUGGAUUCGCGGCUGAACAGCUUGUUGGUUGGGUAGUGGCAUACCCAGGCUUUGACGGGUAGCCGGCGUGUGUGCGUGAACGGGCACAUUAGGACUGCGAAAGGGCCCAGACUGGAACAGGAGGCAGCGGUGGGGAAUCUUGCACAAUGGGCCGGAGCCUGAUGAGGCGGCGCCGGGUGCGUGAUGCCGGCUUUCGGGUUGUGAAAAGCUUUCGCCUAUGACGAAGCGUGUGUGACGGUAAUGGGUGAAGAAGCACCGGCUAACUACGUG
rnacentral:rRNA from 1 species